AUGCCCCUCACAGCAGACUCGCUACAGCAACCGCAUCAUACACGAGUCAGAACUGGUUCAUCUGAAAAGCACAUCACGUCAAGUAUAAGCCAAAGGCUGCGUACAUGUCAUCGGCUAGAAAAAUGGUGAGGAUGACAAGUAAACUUUAAUCAUGAUCCAAACAAUACAUCGACAGGUUACCUGCUGUAAUCAAUCUCCUGCUAAAAGACAAAACUGAAAGUUAAAUGAAGAGCAACAGCCAGCCAAGUAAUUUUGAGUAACACAGCCUUAUAUAUGACACGACAUUUGAAGCUAUGAAUGAGUUUGGACUCAAAAGUCUGGUAAACAGCUUGCUUUGGUAAAAUACUGGCUUCAUAGAAAGGUCGUCAGACAGACAGACAACUGAAGUUUAGCCGGAGAAGAGCAACAAACUUCCUUAGAUAUUCAGCAGGUGAUGACUGGAUUACAAACCUCUGCACCACCGCACAAGUUACAGCAUGCGACUGUGUGAGCACCCAUAAUGGAUCGACCAGCAUGAAAUACAGGAGGAGCAGCACACAAGAACCAAAGGCUGCACAAGGUGCCGUAGGCUGUGCAUUGCAUGCAGGUACAGUGACAGCUAUGUGGCUGGCCAAUUUUAUCUUCUGCAGUGGAGGUGCAGCAGAGGGAAGAGGUCCACGCUCCUCACAUGAAAGCACACUGUGCCCAGAAAUGGAAAACUGAGUAAUAGCAACGCAGAGCCCAACACGCUCAAGCCUUGUAAACAAUGAAGACCAGGAGAAUAAAAAGAGCAAGAACAUGAACUCACACAAACUG